CGCGGUAAUACGUAGGUGGCAAGCGUUAUCCGGAAUUAUUGGGCGUAAAGCGCGCGUAGGCGGUUUUUUAAGUCUGAUGUGAAAGCCCACGGCUCAACCGUGGAGGGUCAUUGGAAACUGGAAAACUUGAGUGCAGAAGAGGAAAGUGGAAUUCCAUGUGUAGCGGUGAAAUGCGCAGAGAUAUGGAGGAACACCAGUGGCGAAGGCGACUUUCUGGUCUGUAACUGACGCUGAUGUGCGAAAGCGUGGGGAUCAAACAGGAUUAGAUACCCUGGUA
rnacentral:rRNA from 1 species